rnacentral:tRNA from 1 species
GGCGGGGUAGCUCAGCUGGUUAGAGCGCAGGACUCAUAAUCUUGAGGUCGGGAGUUCAAGUCUCCCUCCCGCUACCA